rnacentral:tRNA from 1 species
GGAGGGUAUAGCUCAGUGGUAGAGCACAUGCUUAGCAUGCACGAGGUCCUGGGUUCAAUCCCCAGUACCUCCA